CGUCUAGGUAAAAGUCCUAGCUUAGUUAAAGCGUCUGGGUUGCAUUCAGGAGAUGCAGGGUAAUGACCUG
rnacentral:tRNA from 1 species